rnacentral:rRNA from 1 species
GCAGUCGACGGUACAGGAUGUGCUUGCACAUCGCUGACGAGUGGCGGACGGGUGAGUAAUGCUUGGGAACUUGCCUUUGCGAGGGGGAUAACAGUUGGAAACGACUGCUAAUACCGCAUAAUGUCUUCGGACCAAACGGGGCUUAGGCUCCGGCGCAAAGAGAGGCCCAAGUGAGAUUAGCUAGUUGGUAAGGUAACGGCUUACCAAGGCGACGAUCUCUAGCUGUUCUGAGAGGAAGAUCAGCCACACUGGGACUGAGACACGGCCCAGACUCCUACGGGAGGCAGCAGUGGGGAAUAUUGCACAAUGGGGGAAACCCUGAUGCAGCCAUGCCGCGUGUGUGAAGAAGGCCUUCGGGUUGUAAAGCACUUUCAGUUGUGAGGAAAAGUUAGUAGUUAAUACCUGCUAGCCGUGACGUUAACAACAGAAGAAGCACCGGCUAACUCCGUGCCAGCAGCCGCGGUAAUACGGAGGGUGCGAGCGUUAAUCGGAAUUACUGGGCGUAAAGCGCACGCAGGCGGUUUGUUAAGCUAGAUGUGAAAGCCCCGGGCUCAACCUGGGAUGGUCAUUUAGAACUGGCAGACUAGAGUCUUGGAGAGGGGAGUGGAAUUCCAGGUGUAGCGGUGAAAUGCGUAGAUAUCUGGAGGAACAUCAGUGGCGAAGGCGACUCCCUGGCCAAAGACUGACGCUCAUGUGCGAAAGUGUGGGUAGCGAACAGGAUUAGAUACCCUGGUA